rnacentral:lncRNA from 1 species
CAAGGAACUGAAGAGGGAGAAAAAAGUUCUAGCUAAAAGUGUGACGCCGGAAUGACAACCAUCAGCCACUUCAUGUUUGCUCAAUAUGUGGAUGAGCCGUAGAUUAUGACGAGGUUACAGGAUGUUAUCAAUCUGCGGGUCCACGGCUGCGUGAGACUGUGUCGUUAGUAGUCUGGCUCUGAAGAGGUUGGUUGGUUGUUUUAUUGAAAAUUAAAACAUGAAGGAUGGAUCUGGGAAGAGUUCAGAUUUCUCCUAAAUUCCUAACUGAUAAACGAAAUGUCACCGGACUGUGACACAAAUAGCAUUUUUGCUUGUUAUCACUCUGCAUUUAACCAUUAGUUUCAACGGUGGCACUUGUGGGUGCCUUCGUAUAUUUGCGUCUUGAAACAUUUGAAUGGGGGAUGGAUAAAUUGACUCUAUCGUCGUUGUGCAAGUCCUAACACCUAACCGAUUGAUUCUAAUUGAUGGAUUAAACGCUACAUCGUUUACAAUGUGGGGACCGGAUAAACUGUGUGAAAGUAUCACCACGGAGUCUAGGUUUCAGGAUGCUUGAGAAUUGCGGAUGUAGCCUAUUUUCGAUGCAGUUUUCGAGGGCAAGGAGCUGAAGAGGGAACUGUCGUUGUUUGAAUCAGAUCUGCUAACAUCAGCAUCUUUGGUGACAAGCCUAAAUGGAGUAGGCUACACAGUGAGAGCGUGCAUCAUUUACAAUGGCAAGACCAAGACGAAUGGAUGCACAUGCUGCGUAAGCAUUGUUACAAUAUCUGAAUGAAAACGACUCAAAUGGCGGGGAAGAAAUGGAUCAUGACAUCUCUAUUAUUCUGAUUCAUGCUGAACGGCUUACCAUAUCUGGGAAAGGAUCCAUAUCGGACAGCAGGUGAGCGAGUGUCGGAUAAUGGCUGUGCUAGGUGAAAUGAGGAACUCCCGGCUGGCCUGUUGCUGUGUUCUACAACAUGCUUGACUUGGCUGCUAUCAACACAUGUGUUUUUCAAGCAGUGCAUGAACAACACCCAUGAGCAGAAGAAACUUCAUCAUGAGUCUG